AUUGAACGCUGGCGGCAUGCCUUACACAUGCAAGUCGAACGGCAGCGCGGACUUCGGUCUGGCGGCGAGUGGCGAACGGGUGAGUAAUACAUCGGAACGUACCCUGUUGUGGGGGAUAACUAGUCGAAAGAUUAGCUAAUACCGCAUACGACCUGAGGGUGAAAGUGGGGGACCGCAAGGCCUCACGCAGCAGGAGCGGCCGAUGUCUGAUUAGCUAGUUGGUGGGGUAAAGGCCCAACAAGGCGACGGUCAGUAGCUGGUCUGAGAGGACGAUCAGCCACACUGGGACUGAGACACGGCCCAGACUCCUACGGGAGGCAGCAGUGGGGAAUUUUGGACAAUGGGGGCAACCCUGAUCCAGCAAUGCCGCGUGUGUGAAGAAGGCCUUCGGGUUGUAAAGCACUUUUGUCCGGAAAGAAAUCGCGCUGGUUAAUACCUGGCGUGGAUGACGGUACCGGAAGAAUAAGCACCGGCUAACUACGUGCCAGCCGCCGCCGUAA
rnacentral:rRNA from 1 species